AAGCGGAUACGCCAAUUGGUAGAGCGGUCCCGACAAGGAGAUGCCGUGCGGGUUCGAAUCCCGCUCCGCUUC
rnacentral:tRNA from 1 species